GAACUUAGCAGAGAUGCUUUGGUGCCUUCGGGAACUCUGAGACAGGUGCUGCAUGGCUGUCGUCAGCUCGUGUUGUGAAAUGUUGGGUUAAGUCCCGCAACGAGCGCAACCCUUAUCCUUUGUUGCCAGCGGUUAGGCCGGGAACUCAAAGGAGGCUGCCAGUGAUAAACUGGAGGAAGGUGGGGAUGACGUCAAGUCAUCAUGGCCCUUACGAGUAGGGCUACACACGUGCUACAAUGGCGCAUACAAAGAGAAGCGACCUCGCGAGAGCAAGCGGACCUCAUAAAGUGCGUCGUAGUCCGGAUUGGAGUCUGCAACUCGACUCCAUGAAGUCGGAAUCGCUAGUAAUCGUGGAUCAGAAUGCCACGGUGAAUACGUUCCCGGGCCUUGUACACACCGCCCGUCACACCAUGGGAGUGGGUUGCAAAAGAAGUAGGUAGCUUAACCUUCGGGAGGGCGCUUACCACUUUGUGAUUCAUGACUGGGGUGAAGUCGUAACAAGGUAAGCGUAGUGCU
rnacentral:rRNA from 1 species